GAAAAGUGUGGUACAUAUAAUCAAUUAUUUCCUUUGUUUUCGCGAGAGAUACUAUCUUAGCGACACGUGUUUCCGUGUUUAUCGUAUCAAGUAAGCAUUUGGCUAAAGAAUUUUUUUUGUGCGCGACGCGUGUUUCCAGCAAUCUCUACCUCGCGGUCACAGUGGGCGUCUUGUUUUGUUUACUCCGUGACGCUUCGUAGUAAGAAGAAGGUAAAUAAAGCGCCGUGUUUCUCUGAAUUUUUACUUGUCGUAUUACGCAGCCGUCCUCCGAACACAAACUAACCCGCAUAAUUCGACGUACGUGAAUAGUACAAUAUGAGGAAUGUCGCAUCUUUUACCUCUUGUACUUGCGAGAUUCACGUUUAACUAACAAGUGGCGGGAAUAUUGAACCAAGUGACUGCAAAUUAUCGUCGUAAGGUGUUAAUUAACAUGUAAUUAAUCAUUUCUCCACGUUCGCGCGAGAUUUUUCGUGUUUUUCAAUACUCACGAGCAUUGUAAGGUAUUUCGCGCCUUUUUUCUCAUUUCAUGAUCUUUAUAUUAUUAUUUAUUCAUAUAGUUUGAAAUACGCAAUGAAGUAACAGUCAUAACGAAGUAACGUUCAGUUCGUUCAAAGAUGGCGAGGGUGUUGGAAGCAAACGAGCAUCGUGCUGCAUUUCGUUCGCAAUUUUUCUUGUUCGAAGUCAAUUUCGUACGCAAAUGAGUAUCGCCAAUGUUAAAUUCAGUGGUGGGCAAUUGUUAUACAAUGUUAAUUAGCCCGUACGCUCGCUUACUAGUCUUUCGGCUUUCGUAAAAUCAGUCGCGUCAGUCGUAUCGAGUCGGACAGUAUUUGCCGAAUCAUCGCGCAUCUAUACGAAGUUGGUUCGUCUCGUAAAAUUUUUAAAUAGAUUUUGCAAGUGUCGGCAGGGUUGGUAACAUCGAAAGUGUCGAAUUAUACGAUCAUCGUGGAAAGUAAAUCAGUGCGUGCAAUCGCGUUUAAAUUUUUAACCUAUUUUUCGACAUUUAUGAAAUCGCGCGCAUAAUGUUGUGUCGGAUCUUCAAGUAUCAACGUGAAUUGCGUCUAGUUUUUGGAUUUUACGAAAGUAUCUCGGAAAUGAUGGAAAUGUCGAGUAAAGUUACAAUCAAUCGUUGUGUUUCAUGUUAUUUAUUCGUUCGACAGUGAGCAUCAUGCACGCGAGCGGGGUCAGAAAUGUCGAAUGCAUUACCGGUCGAUGUGAUAAUAAAGAAUGAUGAUAAUUAGCUCUGUCAAUGAUAUUCGUGAUCGCGAUAUUUUAAUUGACGAUACUCUAUCGGAUAUCGCGAUGCUGAAACUUUCAUGCCGCAAUUAUUCUCGCUUAUAAUAAGCAAGAUUAUUUCGUAAUUGUCGUAUUUUACAUUGAAGUGUAUUGCGCUUGUUAAAUUCGGGAGUGUCGUAAGAAUGGCUCGGUUGUAUUGUGAGUGUAAUAUGUAUGAGAAAGUGUAAGUGUAAAUGUGUAUGUGAAACAACGAUAAAGUCAAAUUGCAACGAAGGGAGCCAUGCAAAUGUGUGUUCGGAGCAAUGAUGGAGCAAACAAAUGGCAAUGACGGAGGGAAUAAAUGGCAAUGAUGGAAUGAACAAAUGGCAACGACGGGACUUCGGCUGAAAAAGUGAGAAGUACCGCGUUGCGAAAGAGUCCGCUUUUCCAAGUUGUCACAAGACGCCGCCUAGUCAUCGACCUCCAUCGUCGAAGGUUGGAAGGUCGCCGCUGUAAAAUCCGUGUAUUACUACUGACAAGUUGAAGCGUACCCGAAAAACUCGGAGCUGUUUCAGCGAAAGACUGCGUCCCUGUACUGUGCGUACGUAUCGAUUUUUCGAGUAUCAAGCUAGUCGGCAUUAGCAUGGCAAAGAAGACGCCAAUUUGAGUCUGAUAAGCGACCUGCCAUAAGGUCUGUAUCUCCGAUGUUCGCGGUCCCAGGCUUCCGGUCUCCUCCAAUCUUCGUCACUGGCUACACCCGUGCCUCCGCCUGUG